CUCGGCCUUUAACCGCCCAUUGGUUUCUAGGGGCCUUUGAAAGACGCGCGGGUGGAGGGCCCUAUUGAACGUUGAUUGGCUGGGAGGGCGCCCUCCUCCCGCCCUGGGGAGCCGGCGGAGGGCGGGAAGCCGGGAGCCGAGAAAGCAUCCGAAGGCCGCCCCAACACUUUGGGGGACGCUGGAGAGCCUUACUUUCUCAUGACAGGAUCUCAGAGUGAUACCAGGAUCUCUUUAAUCUUCAGCAUCAGGGGUAUCUUCCAUUUCCUCAGAACAUACCUUCCUCCUCAGGGUGGAUGAAGUCCCAGCUCCAUCGAGUGUUGUACAAGUUCUGCCGCCUCCGGCCUCAGCUGGAUGUGAACACAGAAUCAACCUGUUCUGGCCCCUGCCGAUUCUGCAGCGUGGGGAGGAUGAGCUCUAGUCCCAUGGAUGAAUUACUUCCCAGGACUUCCCUGGCCUCUCCUGUCACCAGUCCCGGCAAAAUUAUCUCACCCUUCGCCAGCUGUGCCCGGGGAACGUCUGAGUCCUGAGUGCUUGGUCUCGAGCUGGGGUGACCGCACGUCUGGGUCAGCCUGGUUCUGAAUGGGGCCCUGCUGAUCUCUUGUCAUUUCCUCCAUCCCGUGGUGUGCCCUGGAACUGGACUCUGGCUCCUGACCUUCAGUCACAUGGGUCCUGCUUUCCACUGCCAGCUUUUCCCAUGGUCCUGUCCUGUGCCAGCCCUGGUCCCCCUAGCAGUGCCCUCUGCUCUUUGGAACCUCUUGUCACGCUUGUAUGCUAGCUUUCCAUCAGGAAGGCAGGGUGCUCUAACAGAAAGGGCAAGGCCAUCGAAGUCAAAGACCUGGAUUCAAGCCUUUGUUCUGCAAUCACGCAUCUGACCUUGGACCAGUCACCCAGCCACUUAAUCUGAAUUACUUUCUCCUCAUCUGUUGCCUAUGAAAUGAAAUUCCUGCUUGAAAAUUGACGUCUGGGCUGAGACAAUUUCCCAGUGAGUUUGGUAUAUAUCAGUUAUCGGGCUGGAUCAGUCUUUGGGAAAAUCAGACUUCUGAACUUGAGGAAUCAAGGCUCUCCAUAAAAGAAGCCGGGGAAGAGAACCUGGAACAGCCAAACUGAUUUCCCACCUUCACGUUAGGAAAACAUUUGGCCAGCUCCUGAAGCGGAGCUAUUCACCUAUCUCAAAACUGCUGCAAGCCCAGAAAGGCCUUGAAUCAGACGGUUUCUCACAGGCCAGGGUGACUAGAACCUUUCCCCAUCUCCUCUCAUUGGUUUUGGGGAAACUACUCUGAGAAAUUUGUCAGGAAUGGAGAACAGUCUGAUACUCUCAAAUCUCUGUCUUUUAGUAACACUUAGUUUCCUUUUCAGUACAAUCGAAAAUAAGGAGAGAGUGUUAUUUUCAUCACUUUAUACUGAAGUGAAUUCAGAAUGAACUGGAAACAUGUAUGUUAUAAGCAUCCGUAUUAAUGACCUAAAAUAUAAAACAGAAAUUGGCAAGGCCAACCAGAUAAUAGUUCUGUUCUUCCUGGAAUGGAAGGUGGCAGUGGAGAGAAGUAGUUUCAGUAAACAUCUCUCUCCUGCGCAGAAAUCCCCAGGGUAGGACGCAGAUCUGAUUGAAUGAGUAAGGCUUACAUUUAUUACGGUAUAUUACAAACAUUUUUCAGCAUUCAGAAGUGACUAGUGUCUCUGUGGAUUUGGCCAGUUCCUGGCAAUUAUGCACUUGGCUGCUACUAUAAACCAGCAUGCCAAAUGCCUGGAAUGACGAUCCACAUCUGAGCAGCUUUCAGUCUGGGAAGGAUGUCGUUCAAACACCGCGUUCCUUCCCAAGGUGGCCAAAUCCCGGCUACAGUUCUGUCCUUUAAAUCUGUUUAUCCUGAAACCUGACCAGAAAGGAUAUGGCCACAUCCCUUGCCCCUUUCGACUUCCGCAGCACACACCUGGGGACCUUGAGUGGGUUUUACAGGGUCUGUCUGCUGUAUGCCUAGUGCCUUAAUCAGAAAGUAACAUUUAGAACAUAAUGUGUCAGAUGGAUUAUUAGAAAACACUAAUUCUUUCAGAGACUGUGAAAUCUGGAGGCCUGGCCCAAUUCCAAACAAAGUAAUGGCAUUCUUUUUUGAAAUGUCCUUCCAGUUUUAUUUGAAUGAGUAUUAACCAACCUGUUCUCAGUGGUACCUGAUUCACAGUUGUUCUUUGUGCCUCGGCCUUUAUUUGGAGGAGAGGCUGUUGCUUGACAUGGUCUGUAUAUAGCAGUGGAAGCUCGUGGAAAAAAACCAAACGCUUUUCAGGAAUGUGAGCAAGGACUAUGUUGGCAUAUAUGGAGAGGACUAGAAUAUGCAUUCUACAAGGCAAGAAUUUUUGUCUUUUUUGUUAAUGAUUGUUAAUGAUAUCUAGACCCACAUCUGGCUCAUAAUAGCCACUCAGUAAAUAUUUGUUGUAUGAAUAAUGAGUGAAUAUAUAAUUGAUUAUAAGCCCAGCCUCUUAAUCGCACAGUAAAUAUCAUUGUCCAUUUCUUAUUCUCUUUUAUUUUUCUUACUUUGUUUAUAUUCAAUUUAGACAGAAGGCAGUUACAGGCAUUUCUCUACUAAAAGGGGGAAACUGAAAGUCAAUAUGGCAUCUCCAAUGGUGCCCUGUGCGCACGUGCCAGGCUUUUCACUUAUUCCUGCCUCUCUUCCUCCCCUAGCCUUUCCCACUCUGCUCAAGAAGAGGCCCCCUUCCCCUGGCUCAGCCUGUGGCCUGGCCUAUCUCAAAGGGAAAUUUGUCUGUACCUAUAACAUGACAUGGCCAUGGCAAUGCUCACCUCUUUUCCUCCAGUUCAAACAAGGCAUCCCUUCCACACAAGACAGAUCCCUUUCCUCUGUGGACUCUUACAGCAUUACUGAUUUCCUCCUCUUUUGCCUGCUCCUCAUUGCUGGCUUCUUCAGAGUCCACAGAAGAGCGCAAGUUUCUCCAAUAUCAAACACACACACCACACGCACCAUACACACCUACCACCGCCAACACGGUGAUCCCCCAACCCCUCACAAAUAGACCCAUAUCACUUUUACCAUCACAGCCCAAUUGUUCAAUAGAAAGAGACUCCACUUUCUCACUUUUUUCUCCUCUCAUCCUUUGCAAAACUAAACAAGAAAAAUUUCUCUCAGAAGGAAAAAUUAAAAUCAGAAAAUAUGUCUCUCUCUUAAGAAUAGAACUAGAUUUUAUUCUUCCUUGCUAGCUAGAUUUCUUAGGAUAAGAGCAUAAGUCCCAAAUCAAAUCGCAUUUUGUUAUCGUGGAACUUUCUGUUGGCGAAGUCUCUGGACAACAAAAGAGAAAAUUGCGAGAACAAUCUCUUAUUAUAAAACUUGUUCAUUAUCCAAGAAGAAAUACUCAUUUAGACCCCAUCUACUGGAGUUUAAGGUUGGUGGACUGACCAGGGGACAAUAAAUGAUGGUUCUUAAAGUGAACCAGUUGAUGUAAAUGAAUGAGCAGGAUGUUUGCUAAUCUUUCUUAAGGUGCAUUCUCGAAAAGGGUUUCGAAAGGUCUUGUAAACUCCCCCUGGUUACAGGUAACGAUUCUAAUGCUCUCUUUAAAGAGCAUUAAAGAGCUCUCUUCUUUAAAGGUAGAGUCCUUUAAAAAGUAAUUUCUGAUGUUUAUUCCUGAAUCCUAAACACAAGAUACUGUCUUUUGCUUGACUCAGUAUUAUCUUCCACAUCAACCACACUCAGGAUUCUAGCCUGUAUCUCUGGCAUUCUUCUGAUACACUCUGUGAAGUUUAUCUCCUGAUGACAUCUACCUGUCACACACAGUGAACACUUAAGCUGAGCCUUCUGUGGUUUUUUAUCCUGAUGACUGAUCCUUUCUCAAAAUUCCUUCUUCCCUCAGUUCUCAAGGAGUAGGCUCUCCUAGCUCUCCUCUGAUUCCCCCUCCUCUGCCUGCCAUUCCUCAGGGUUCUUUCUUUGGCUGUCUUCUAACUCCCCAUACUCUUCCUUGGCUGUCUUAUUGAUCCUGUGGCUUCAACUGCCAAUAAGCCCAUGAAUUCCUAAUCUCCACCUCUGGCUCUUACCCCUCUUCUGCGUUCCAGACCCAUGUCCCCAGCUGCCUCGCACCUUCAUGGCCCUCAGGCGGUAAAGCUCAACACCAAUAAGGCUGGAAUUAUGAUUGCUUUCUCAAACUUGCUUUUCCUCUAUGUCACUGUAGCCCCACACCUGAGCGUCAUCCUAGCUCUUUUCUUUCCCCCCAACUUGGUGGCCAGGUGUUGUCUUUUCAAUUCCUUAAUACCUUUUGUUCGGGCCUCCUUCUCUCUAUCCCACUGCCGCUGCCCCAGAUCAGACCUUAUCAGUUCUCACCUGGAAUAUUGAAAGUUCUCACCUGCCUCCUUGCUUCUGCUCAUACACAUCUUCAGUGCGUUUUCCACAUGAAUCUUUUGAUGAUGCCAGAGGGAUAAUUUUGAGAUGCCAAUCUGAUCAUGUCACUUCCCUAUUGAAUACUCUUUACUAGUUCCCCACUGUAGAGAGGAUGAAGUUCAAAACUUGAGCAUAGUAUAAAAUAUUGUUUGUUCAUUGCCCCCCCCAACCCUGCAUAAACUAUGCAUCUUAAUUUCCUUAUUUGCGGCCGGGGGUGGGGUGGGGUUCAGACUCAAACGCCUACAGUGAAGGGGAUGGUGGGGACCAGAUGUGGGUGUUGCAAAUUGGAGAGUUCAUAACCCCAUCUAAAGGGGACAUUCUUUGGCUCCAGCCUGUUGUUGCUGGGUGGGAAUUUGGGCCCAGUCCAGCCAAAUUAAAGAUUUUUUUUCAAAAGAAGCUGGAUUUUUAUGUUAAACUUUCUGUUUAUUAAAUGUUGGAAACUAAUUAAAAAAAUUAAAAAACACUGUGUGGUAGUUCAUUAUGAAAGUGAAAAAGAAAAACACAUGAUCUGUGGACUAAAUUAAACACAUCUGUGUAAGAUUGUGCAAGAUUGAUGCCUGUGUCUAGAACUCUCCCUGAAGUCUGCAUCUUAGCUGCAUGGAACUGCUUCCAGUGCCCUAAACAUGUGGGAUGCCUCCUCAGCUUUGUUUUUGCUGGCUUGCUUGGUUUGGAAUGCCCUCCUUCCUCCUCAUGCUCCUCCCACCCCACCCACCCUUCUCUCAAAUAAAUGCUGAGGAAUUUAGAGUUUAUCCUAAUUUGUCAAGACUCCCCUCCUAAGUCCCUUCUCUCUGAAGCAUUUCUUGGCAUUCCUUCACUCCACUUUAGGGAGAACCAACUCACUUUCCUUUGCCCUCCAACAGGUUCUGUGGAACUCCUUUUGUUUUUGUUUUCUAUUGGAUUCCAUAAUGCAAACUCUAGACCUUAAGUUGCAAGGGGACGGUUUCCAUGACAGAUUUAUCCAUGCAUCCUCAAGACCUAGCACAGUGAUUGGUACAUAAUAGGCACUUAAUAGAUAUUUGUUAAAUGAAUAAACUAGAUGUGUACUUUCUAAAAUCGAAACUCACUUUAAUUUUUAUCAAGAAAUGCCAAAAUGCUAUUUUUAUAGUUGAAAACUUAAUGUCAUUCCAAAAUCCUCAUAAUGGAUAUUAUGGUAUUGGUGCCUCUUUUGGAAGCCAGUCCCCAAAGAUGGCCACCAGAGAACAUGCCUCCAAAUAUUCAUGACCUUGUGUAAUUCCCUCCCCUUGAAUCUGGGCUGGCCCUGGGGCUUGCUUUUUGACCAAUAGAAUAAGGUGGA